rnacentral:lncRNA from 1 species
GAGGCUGAGGCAUGAGAACCACUUGAGCCCAGGAGGUGGAGGUUGCAGUGAGCCAAGAUUGCACCACUGCACUAUAGCCUGGGCAACAGAGUGAAACUCUGUCUCCAAAAACAAUAAAUAAAAUAAAAUAAAUAGGCUGAGGACAGUGACUCACACCUGCAAUCCUAGCACUUUGGGAGGCUGAGGCGGGUGGAUCACAAGGUCAGGAGAUCCAGAACAUCUUGGCUAACAUCUUGGCUAAACCCCACCUCUACGA